CUCUUCUAAGUUAGUUGUAAAUUUGUCAAUGAUUAAUUGUAAAUUUGUCAAUGAUUACAUAUACUCUGGAAUUUUGACUUCAAAUGUGGUACAUGUACUCUGAAAUUUUGCCUCGCGUGGUGUACGUGUCAGAUGUAUGUAAAUGUAUGUAAAACUUUAUUUCAAUACGCUAACUUCGACAAUUAUUUACAACUGGUUUCCACGAAGGGCGUAUACACACAAAGAGCUAAAUGUUAAUUAUAUAUAGAACAAAAUAUGUAAG